GUGGAUCCUGGUCACAUACCAACAUGUGGUGUGGGCGAAGAAGGCAGUAAAUUGUCACAACAUAUUGCUGAGCAGUUGAGAGCAUCAAACAGAGAUAGUAUCUGCUUCAUUCCAUACAAUACUGGGUACCAUUGGAUUCUGACUAUAAUUAAUGAAGAUAAGAAUAUGAUAUAUUUAUUGGACUCUUUGAGUAAUAGGAAUCGAGAUCAUGCUUGGCAAAUUAUUGUGACCAAUGGGGUCAAGUUAUACAAUGCAUCAAGGGGUAUUUCAAAAGGACCUGGGUUUAAACAAUUGACGGGUAAUCUAAAGCAAAAAGGUGGUGUUGAAUGUGGAUAUUGUAUAAUACGAUACAUGAAA